rfam:Salmo salar isolate Sally breed double haploid chromosome ssa17, whole genome shotgun sequence.
CCUGGGCCUGAUUCAAGUAAUCCAGGAUAGGUUUGUUCAGAAAGGUAAAGCCUAUUCUGCAUGACUUGGUUCAGGACUAUG